rnacentral:tRNA from 1 species
GGAGAGGUGACAGAGCGGCCGAAUGUGACGGUCUUGAAAACCGUUGUGUCUGCAAGGGCACCAGGGGUUCGAAUCCCCUCCUCUCCG